GACGAAAUAGAGUAAAAGGCAACUUAUCAGGCUCAUAAUCUGAAGAUGUAGGUUCAAAUCCUGCUUUCGUCA
rnacentral:tRNA from 1 species